GCCAGCAUGGUGUAAUGAUUUGAGUGUCGGACUACAACUCUGGAGACCAGGGUUCGAUUCCCAGCUUGGCC